UACGGAGUGUGCAAGCGUUACUCGGAAUCACUGGGCGUAAAGCGCGCGUAGGCGGGUAUUCAAGUCGGUUGUGAAAUCCCCCAGCUCAACUGGGGAACUGCAUCCGAUACUGUCUGUCUUGAGGACGAGAGGGGAGAGUGGAACUUCUGGUGGAGCGGUGAAAUGCGUAGAUAUCAGGAGGAACGCCGGUGGCGAAAGCGACUCUCUGGCUCGUAUCUGACGCUGAGGCGCGAAAGCUUGGGUAGCAAACGGG
rnacentral:rRNA from 1 species